AGAGUUUGAUCCUGGCUCAGGACGAACGCUGGCGGCGUGCUUAACACAUGCAAGUCGAACGGAGAUUAUUAAUGAAGCUUGCGAUUUAAUAAUCUUAGUGGCGGACGGGUGAGUAACGCGUGGGCAACCUACCCAUAAGAGGGGGAUAACAGUUGGAAACGACUGCUAAUACCGCAUAACCUAUUAAGGUUGCAUGACCUUAAUAGCAAAGGUGGCAUUUUAACAGUGCUAUCACUUAUGGAUGGGCCCGCGUCUGAUUAGCUAGUUGGUGGGGUAGAAGCCUACCAAGGCAACGAUCAGUAGCCGGCCUGAGAGGGUGGACGGCCACACUGGGACUGAGACACGGCCCAGACUCCUACGGGAGGCAGCAGUGGGGAAUAUUGCGCAAUGGGGGCAACCCUGACGCAGCGACGCCGCGUGAGCGACGAAGGCCUUCGGGUCGUAAAGCUCUGUUGUAAGGGACGAAUGUUCCUAUGGCAAAUAGCCAUAGGGAGUGACGGUACCUUACCAGCAAGCCCCGGCUAACUACGUGCCAGCAGCCGCGGUAAGACGUAGGGGGCGAGCGUUGUCCGGAAUUACUGGGCGUAAAGAGCGCGUAGGCGGGUAAUUAAGUCAGAUGUGAAAGACCGGGGCCUAACCCCGGGGUUGCAUCUGAAACUGGAUAUCUUGAGGGCAGGAGAGGAAAGUGGAAUUCCUGGUGUAGCGGUGAAAUGCGUAGAAAUCAGGAGGAACACCAGUGGCGAAGGCGACUUUCUGGACUGACCCUGACGCUGAUGUGCGAAAGCGUGGGUAGCAAACAGGAUUAGAUACCCUGGUAGUCCACGCUGUAAACGAUGGAUACUAGGUGUGGGAGGUAUCGACCCCUUCCGU
rnacentral:rRNA from 1 species